rnacentral:rRNA from 1 species
UACGUAGGGUGCGAGCGUUGUCCGGAAUUAUUGGGCGUAAAGAGCUUGUAGGCGGUUUGUCGCGUCUGCUGUGAAAAUCCGGGGCUCAACCCCGGACUUGCAGUGGGUACGGGCAGACUAGAGUGUGGUAGGGGAGACUGGAAUUCCUGGUGUAGCGGUGAAAUGCGCAGAUAUCAGGAGGAACACCGAUGGCGAAGGCAAGUCUCUGGGCCACUACUGACGCUGAGAAGCGAAAGCGUGGGGAGCGAACAGG